GUGAGUUAUAAUUCCACUGUAUAUUACUUGGUCACAGUUUAAUGACCCAGCUGCAUCUGUUAAGUGUCUGCAUCCCUUCAGGAGAGGAAGUCUUCCUGUGGAUUCCUUAUCUUGCCUCAUCUGAAACCUGCUGGGUGGGAUUAGCUGGUGUCCAGGGUCCCUCCAGUUUUAAUUUCUGACCUAAGACUUCAUCUUGGAGAGAGGAACAAACUCACAAACAGGACUUUAUCUUCACUUCUUUACACUGCAUCGAUUCAGUUCUAAUUCCCAAACUGUGUGCCUGUCUUGAGAUUUCAGGUGCCCCAGAGAUAGGCCUUGGAGAGGGGACACAGCUAAAUAGGUCAAGGGAAUACGGAAGGAAUCGGAUGACCAAGGUGAUUAUUCCAAAGUCAGGCACCAGCCUCCAAAAAAGCAUUGGACAAAGCUGCAUUCCUAUAGGGCAAAGGGCCUACAUCAAACUUCCCUGGUGGCACAGUGGGUAAGAAGCCACAUGCUGAAGCAGGGGACAUGAGAUUGAUCCCUGGUCCUGGCGGAUCCCCCAGGCCAUGCAGCAGCGAAGUCCAUGUGCAGAAAUCCUGAAGCCUUCGCCCUCGCGGCUGCGCUCCGCAGCAGGAGAUGCCACCCCAGUGAAAAGCCCACAUGCAGCAUCUGGACAAACACCAGUGUGCAGCAACCAAGACCCGGCACAGCCAAGAAUAAAUAAGCAACAAAAUGGUCCACAUCAAAAGAAACAACAACAACUAAGUCUCUGUCACAGUUCCAGAGUGGAUAUUGAAUUCAGGAAAUGGAGACGUGUGUAAAAAUAUCCGGGGUGAAAGCAAAGGUCUCAGAGACUGAGACAUGGGAGUGUUGAGUAGAUAGAUAUGGAGGGGAAUAUAGGGGAGACCCUUCCACUGGGGCUUUGUGUUUUCAGCACUGUGGCUGAAUGCCACACGUCCUUUUUAUUAAAGGCACAGGACAGGUACAUGCCGAGUGUGAGAGAAAGUCUAAGAUCACUUCCCCAGAGCAGAGUGACAGAUUCCCAUUAAGCAUUCAGUCUCCUCUCAGGCCUCAAAAUCGAAUUCUCUGGAGGAGUUAGGAAAAGGAUUGUCUGAAGGAUGGAUGGGAUGGAAAGUCAUUCUCUUCCUAUCUUUGUAGUUCUCGGAACAAUGGCUCUCUUCAAAUAUUGACCGUCUGUGUUUUCUGAGACUACUGUUUACUUACGAUAAACACAUUUAUUGCGACCACUUUUUCUAACUCCUGUUGUUUAAACUAGCCUCUCAGUUCAUUUUCUCAGCUGGGUGUCCUUAGCUGGUUCUGUAAUAAACUUCCUGACUCACAGUAAUAACAUGCCUCCUGCCAGAGAGAGUAUAUUUUAUGGAUGUGUUGGGAAAUUUUAAAGUUAGAAAAAUCAGUGAUUGUUGAAAUGACAUGUUGAUAAAAACUAGGGCAUGACUUGGGUUUGCUUUUAAAAGCCUCUAAAAAAUAACAGGCUGCAAAUUAAAAUGUAUAAAGUAUCGAUCUGUCUUUUCAAAUUGAAAAUGAAGGAAGCCUGAUGAUUUUGGAAAUAAUUCUGGAAGUGUGUGUACAUUUUAAAG
ensembl:lncRNA